CCUAGUAGUCCACGCCGUAAACGAUGAGAACUAAGUGUUGGAGAGAUUCAGUGCUGCAGUUAACGCAAUAAGUUCUCCGCCUGGGGAGUAUGCACGCAAGUGUGAAACUCAAAGGAAUUGACGGGGGCCCGCACAAGCAGUGGAGUAUGUGGUUUAAUUCGAAGCAACGCGAAGAACCUUACCAGGCCUUGACAUAGAUAUAAAUGUUCUAGAGAUAGAAAGAUAGCUAUAUAUCACACAGGUGGUGCAUGGUUGUCGUCAGCUCGUGUCGUGAGAUGUUGGGUUAAGUCCCGCAACGAGCGCAACCCUUGUCUUCUGUUACCAGCAUUAGGUUGGGGACUCAGGAGAGACUGCCGGUGACAAACCGGAGGAAGGUGGGGAUGACGUCAAAUCAUCAUGCCCCUUGUGGCCUGGGCUACACACGUACUACAAUGGCGCCUACAAAGAGCAGCGACACCGCGAGGUGGAGCGAAUCUCAUAAAGGGCGUCUCAGUUCGGAUUGAAGUCUGCAACUCGACUUCAUGAAGUCGGAAUCGCUAGUAAUCGCAGAUCAGCAUGCUGCGGUGAAUACGUUCUCGGGCCUUGCACUCACCGCCCGUC
rnacentral:rRNA from 1 species